rnacentral:rRNA from 1 species
GCAGUCGAGCGAACGGAUAAGGAGCUUGCUCCUUUGAAGUUAGCGGCGGACGGGUGAGUAACACGUGGGUAACCUACCUAUAAGACUGGAAUAACUUCGGGAAACCGGAGCUAAUGCCGGAUAACAUUUGGAACCGCAUGGUUCUAAAGUAAAAGAUGGUUUUGCUAUCACUUAUAGAUGGACCCGCGCCGUAUUAGCUAGUUGGUAAGGUAACGGCUUACCAAGGCAACGAUACGUAGCCGACCUGAGAGGGUGAUCGGCCACACUGGAACUGAGACACGGUCCAGACUCCUACGGGAGGCAGCAGUAGGGAAUCUUCCGCAAUGGACGAAAGUCUGACGGAGCAACGCCGCGUGAGUGAUGAAGGUUUUCGGAUCGUAAAACUCUGUUAUUAGGGAAGAACAAAUGUGUAAGUAACUGUGCACAUCUUGACGGUACCUAAUCAGAAAGCCACGGCUAACUACGUGCCAGCAGCCGCGGUAAUACGUAGGUGGCAAGCGUUAUCCGGAAUUAUUGGGCGUAAAGCGCGCGUAGGCGGUUUCUUAAGUCUGAUGUGAAAGCCCACGGCUCAACCGUGGAGGGUCAUUGGAAACU